GACGAACGCUGGCGGCGUGCUUAACACAUGCAAGUCGAACGGAAAGGCCCUGCUUGCAGGGUACUCGAGUGGCGAACGGGUGAGUAACGCGUGGGUGAUCUGCCCUGCACUUCGGGAUAAGCCUGGGAAACUGGGUCUAAUACCGGAUAGGAGCCAUUUUUAGUGUGAUGGUUGGAAAGUUUUUUCGGUGUAGGAUGAGCUCGCGGCCUAUCAGCUUGUUGGUGGGGUAAUGGCCUACCAAGGCGGCGACGGGUAGCCGGCCUGAGAGGGUGGACGGCCACAUUGGGACUGAGAUACGGCCCAGACUCCUACGGGAGGCAGCGGUGGGGAAUAUUGCACAAUGGGCGCAAGCCUGAUGCAGCGACGCCGCGUGGGGGAUGACGGCCUUCGGGUUGUAAACUCCUUUCGCUAGGGACGAAGCUUUUUGUGACGGUACCUAGAUAAGAAGCACCGGCUAACUACGUG
rnacentral:rRNA from 1 species